UACGAAGGGGGCUAGCGUUGCUCGGAAUCACUGGGCGUAAAGGGUGCGUAGGCGGGUCUUUAAGUCAGGGGUGAAAUCCUGGAGCUCAACUCCAGAACUGCCUUUGAUACUGAAGAUCUUGAGUUCGGGUGAGGUGAGUGGAACUGCGAGUGUAGAGGUGAAAUUCGUAGAUAUUCGCAAGAACACCAGUGGCGAAGGCGGCUCACUGGCCCGAUACUGACGCUGAGGCACGAAAGCGUGGGGAGCAAACAGG
rnacentral:rRNA from 1 species